GUGCUCACUUAGGCAGCCCAUAUACUAAAAUCGGAACAACACAGAAAGGAUUGGCAUGGCUUCUACGUGGGGAUAACAUACGUGAAAAUUAAUUCUUACCUUCUUUA